rnacentral:rRNA from 1 species
AUGUCUGGUGUGCCGGUGCGGGAGCAGCUUUUUAAUGUUUCAAUCUGCCACUACAACCAUCUCAAUCUGUUCCAUCAUGGCGACUUUUCAAGAAGUUUUGGGAGGACAUUUGAUCCAUCUAACUUAGAGGUGGCGGCACCAAUUCUGCUGGAGAGAAGUCAUGGCAAUAUCAUCUUUCUAACAAGCCGGGGAGAGGUGAGCUUAUACUCUUCAGGCCUACUUGAUCACGAUGCGACAUGGAGGUGGCAACUAUCGACAGGCGCAACAUGGUCCAACCUUCCAUCUCCAUCAGGGAUGACAGAGAAUGAUGUCAUCCCCACUCACAAAGCCUUCUCUCUGCACGCCUAUGACCCAAAGCAGGUGAUCAUCGCGGGCGGCGACCAGGAGGCCGUGGUGAUCUCUCCUUCUGGUGUCCUACUGGCGUCCAGCGACCUCCCCGCGCCGCUGACUCAUGCAUUAAUUCUCAAGGAUUUCUCUGGCGAUGGGCUGACUGAUUUCAUCCUGGUGACAUCCGGGGGAGUGUGUGGAUUUGUGCAGAUGAGGCGGCCCGGGGCGCUCUUCUUCGGCACACUUGUUGGCUUCUUGAUCGUUGCGAUCGGGGUGAUACUUGUUUCUCUGCACCUCAACUCGUCGAACAAUGGUAAACCAAGGUCUUCUUCGACCGACUACAGGUGA